CUGCAAUUGGUGCAUGCAAAGAAAGAUCGGUUGAAACUCAAAUGACUUGUUUUACAAGUCGAUCUGCGUUAAUUACUGCUGCUCCCUGGAUAAGAGUUCCACGUCCGUUUAAAUGGGGACGCCCUUCUUUUAAUGCUGGUGAUAUUUUUGCUAUGGUUUCUGCUUCUCUUGUUGCAACUGUAGAGUCAACAGGGACAUUCA
rnacentral:sRNA from 1 species